rnacentral:rRNA from 1 species
AUUGAACGCUGGCGGCAUGCCUUACACAUGCAAGUCGAACGGCAGCACGGGGGCAACCCUGGUGGCGAGUGGCGAACGGGUGAGUAAUGCAUCGGAACGUGCCCAGUAGUGGGGGAUAACUAGUCGAAAGAUUAGCUAAUACCGCAUACGACCUAUGGGUGAAAGCGGGGGAUUCGCAAGAACCUCGCGCUAUCGGAGCGGCCGAUGUCUGAUUAGCUAGUUGGCGGGGAAAAGCCCACCAAGGCUUCGAUCAGUAGCUGGUCUGAGAGGACGACCAGCCACACUGGGACUGAGACACGGCCCAGACUCCUACGGGAGGCAGCAGUGGGGAAUUUUGGACAAUGGGCGCAAGCCUGAUCCAGCCAUGCCGCGUGCGGGAAGAAGG